UACGUAGGUGACCAGCGUUGUCCGGAUUUACUGGGCGUAAAGAGCGCGCAGGCGGUCGUUCAAGUCGAGUGUGAAAGCCCCCGGCUCAACUGGGGAGGGUCACUUGAUACUGAUCGACUCGAAGGCAGGAGAGGGAAGCAGAAUUCCCGGUGUAGUGGUGAAAUGCGUAGAUAUCGGGAGGAAUACCAGUGGCGAAGGCGGCUUCCUGGCCUGUUCUUGACGCUGAGGCGCGAAAGCUAGGGUAGCAAACGGG
rnacentral:rRNA from 1 species